AGUCGAACGAUGACUCUCUAGCUUGCUAGAGAUGAUUAGUGGCGGACGGGUGAGUAACAUUUAGGAAUCUACCUAGUAGUGGGGGAUAGCUCGGGGAAACUCGAAUUAAUACCGCAUACGACCUACGGGUGAAAGGGGGCGCAAGCUCUUGCUAUUAGAUGAGCCUAAAUCAGAUUAGCUAGUUGGUGGGGUAAAGGCCCACCAAGGCGACGAUCUGUAACUGGUCUGAGAGGAUGAUCAGUCACACCGGAACUGAGACACGGUCCGGACUCCUACGGGAGGCAGCAGUGGGGAAUAUUGGACAAUGGGGGCAACCCUGAUCCAGCCAUGCCGCGUGUGUGAAGAAGGCCUUUUGGUUGUAAAGCACUUUAAGCAGGGAGGAGAGGCUAAUGGUUAAUACCCAUUAGAUUAGACGUUACCUGCAGAAUAAGCACCGGCUAACUCUGUGCCAGCAGCCGCGGUAAUACAGAGGGUGCGAGCGUUAAUCGGAAUUACUGGGCGUAAAGCGAGUGUAGGUGGCUCAUUAAGUCACAUGUGAAAUCCCCGGGCUUAACCUGGGAACUGCAUGUGAUACUGGUGGUGCUAGAAUAUGUGAGAGGGAAGUAGAAUUCCAGGUGUAGCGGUGAAAUGCGUAGAGAUCUGGAGGAAUACCGAUGGCGAAGGCAGCUUCCUGGCAUAAUAUUGACACUGAGAUUCGAAAGCGUGGGUAGCAAACAGGAUUAGAUACCCUGGUAGUCCACGCCGUAAACGAUGUCUACUAGCCGUUGGGGUCCUUGAGACUUUAGUGGCGCAGUUAACGCGAUAAGUAGACCGCCUGGGGAGUACGGCCGCAAGGUUAAAACUCAAAUGAAUUGACGGGGGCCCGCACAAGCGGUGGAGCAUGUGGUUUAAUUCGAUGCAACGCGAAGAACCUUACCUGGUCUUGACAUAGUGAGAAUCCUGCAGAGAUGCGGGAGUGCCUUCGGGAAUUCACAUACAGGUGCUGCAUGGCUGUCGUCAGCUCGUGUCGUGAGAUGUUGGGUUAAGUCCCGCAACGAGCGCAACCCUUUUCCUUAUUUGCCAGCGGGUUAAGCCGGGAACUUUAAGGAUACUGCCAGUGACAAACUGGAGGAAGGCGGGGACGACGUCAAGUCAUCAUGGCCCUUACGACCAGGGCUACACACGUGCUACAAUGGUAGGUACAGAGGGUUGCUACACAGCGAUGUGAUGCUAAUCUCAAAAAGCCUAUCGUAGUCCGGAUUGGAGUCUGCAACUCGACUCCAUGAAGUUGGAAUCGCUA
rnacentral:rRNA from 1 species